UUCAGAGUUUUCGUAUGUGAGGUAAUCUUGCUGGGAGUAAAGGCAGUGUGUAUGACCGCUUGAUAUGAGAGACACAUCCUGCUUUUAAAGGAGGUAAACUUUAUACUGUAAACUUCAUUCCCUUUAGAACAGAGUUUUCGUAUGUGAGGUAAUCUUGCUGGGAGUAAAGGAAGCGUGUAUGACCGCUUGAUAUGAGAGACACAUCCUGCUUUUAAAGGUACACUUUAUACCGUCAGCUUCAUUCCCUUUAUAGCAGAGUUUUCAUAUGUGAGGUAAUCUUGCUUAUGCUGGGAGAGAUGGCAGUGCGUAUGACCGCUUGAUAUGAGAGACACAUCCUGUAUUUCAAGGUGGAUCAUGAGUGAAGCUCUGCAGGUCGGCCAUUGACUUGAUAACAGUUGUUUAUGUUUAUUCAAUUUAAGAAUAAAUCUCUCGCCAACCAUUCACCUAUUUACUGACAAAACAGAUCCAAAUCUUGUUCGGCCUGAUGCUCAACCUAUGAUGAUGACCACUGCAAGGUGAUGGGAAUCUGUGGUAAUCACAGCCUGCGUCUCAAGAUCAACAUGACAACAGCAGAGUAGACCAUCUCUUAUCUUACUCUUAUCUGACAAAAUGUUCAACGUCACUGCCACAAAACAAAGAACAUUGAAUGGAACAUGUACUGUACAAUGAUCCAGCAAACAAAAUAAUAUGGACUUUUUUGGCGAGAUUCUACAAACAUUGAUACAAUCAAUGUUUAUUUUUACAGUUAGUAAUGUAUUAUUAACAUCCCAUUCAUUUGUAUUCUAUCCCAUCUAUCUGUUUGUGCUAAAAUUUUAAAAUCUGAAUGUAAUGUCAUAAUAUGUUAAUAUUCAGUAUUUAUUAUCAUUUGCAUGUUUCGAUG